rnacentral:rRNA from 1 species
UACGUAGGGGGCAAGCGUUGUCCGGAAUUAUUGGGCGUAAAGAGCGCGUAGGCGGUCCGAUAAGUCGACUGUGAAAGUCUAGGGCUCAACCCUGGAAAGCCGGUCGAUACUGUCGGACUAGAGUCCGGAAGAGGCCGGUGGAAUUCCCGGUGUAGUGGUGAAAUGCGUAGAGAUCGGGAGGAACACCUGUGGCGAAGGCGGCCUGCUGGGCAGUGGCUGACGCUGAGGCGCGACAGCGUGGGGGAGCAAACAGG